rnacentral:rRNA from 1 species
CCUACGGAUGGCAGCAGUGGGGAAUAUUGCGCAAUGGGCGAAAGCCUGACGCAGCGAAGCGGCGUGAAGGAUGAAGGUCCUCGGAAAGGAAAACUCUGUUAGCAGGGAAGAACGGUCACUCUCCUAAGCAGCAUUGAAUUGACGCUACCUGCAAAGGUAGCACCGGCUCACUCCGUGCCAGCAGCCGCGGUAAGACGGAGGGUGCGCGCGUUAAUCGGAAUUACUGGGCGUAACGCGCUCGUAGCCGUGAUGUCAAGUCAAGGGUGAAAUCCCCGCGCUCAACUUGGGAACUGCCUUUGAAACUGGCAAACUGGAGUGUGUGAGAGGAUAGUGGAAUUCCAGGUGU